rnacentral:sRNA from 1 species
GCGAAUACGAUUUCAUUCAAUUAACAUAAUUUUGAGAUCAUUCAACGGAGUAAUAAUGAAAUUCAUUGCUGUUUUCGUAUUUUUACUGGUGGCCCAGUGCUAUGGCCGUUCAGUUUAUGAAGAUUCCGAGGAAGUAGGAUUGUCUGAGGAUCAUUUGCAUUCCCUUGUCGUUCAAAACGGGAAAUUGCAAACGGAGCUAGAGCCAUUGGAGAAGACACUCUCAAAACGUUCCACCCGCGAUGAUAUUGAAAUUAUCAUAAUAAAAGCAGCGGACAAGCAAAUGUAGGCAACGGAUGCA